rnacentral:rRNA from 1 species
UCCGUAGGUGAACCUGCGGAAGGAUCAUUCGCACGUAUCCAACCAAACAUCUGUGAACGAUUCCCUGUGAAGCUCCUUCGGGAGCUUCAAGGGCAAGGGCGCAAGGAUGAGGCUGCGGCAGUUGUCCUUGUGCCUUGUCAGGUCAUCUGAUUAACCUUGUGUUAAACCUUUAUUGAUCGCAUUGGCUUGCCAAUGUUUUCGUUCUAACAACUUUCAGCGACGGAUGUCUCGGCUCGAACAACGAUGAAGGGCGCAGCGAAGUGUGAUAAACAUUGUGAAUUGCAGAAUUCCGUGAACCAACAGGUACUUGAACGCAUACUGCGCUUUCGGGAUAUCCCUGAAAGCAUGCCUGCUUCAGUGUCUACUCAUUCUCAUUCACAUCCGGCUUCGGCCGCUGUGAGUUUCUGCGCGCCACGGCGCACUUGUGCCCGUGACGCGUGUAGUGUAUCCAGCUCCACGCGAUGACAUUUGAUUGCGCUCCUUGCGUUGUGAUCUGUCAGAGCGAAUGGUGCUGCCUCUACAGCCGCCAAGGCGUCCAAACAAAGACAUGAAGUUAGGUCAGAGAACCCGCUGAAUUUAAGCAUAUCAAUAAGCGGAGGAA